GUGAGGAUUUGAGAUGGAAAUGAGUAAAUAUCCCUAACUGGUUGUGUUUUGUGAGAGAGAGAGGGGAAGGAUAUUUUACUUAGAUAGUGUUUUUAAUUUGUUUAAUCAAUAAUUUGUCUAAAAGAUGAUACAAAGGGUAGGAUGUGAAUGCUCAUUAUUUGAUACCCUUAAAAAGAAAAUUUACUCACAGUAACUUUUCUAAUUGACAUCUAUAUAGAGGUUAGCCGAUACAAUCAAGUAAGCCCAAAAGUGAGGUAUUUUAUGUAGAAAAAUCAGAUUCUGUGAUGAUGAGUUAUGAUGCUGCUGUAGUGGGUGAUCGACGAUUGUAUAAUACUAAUAAUUAUGUUAUGAAGAAAAUAUGUUGGUAGAUUUAUUUUAAAUAGUGGACAUAUGGCUUGUAUAAUGAUAUUAUGGAUGGAUCAAUUUAGAUUCCUAAACUCGAAUAUCUGUCUUAUUAUUUAUAUAAGUUGUGUUUUAAUUAUUAAA